AGUAUGUAUAGACAUGCCUUGUAUCAGUCUAUAGAAGUAAGAUGAUACUUCACUGUUGUACACCCUCCUGGAUCGUUUGGAGCAGUUUCUUGUAUUUUGUUUCAUAACCUGGGCCAUCAUCAAGGUAGAGAGAAAGCCCAAUAUGAUACUUCGCCUACAGACAAGGGAGUUCUUCCUGCUGCUCGUCCUAUUGGCGGCACCGUUCACCAACGCCAAUCGUCCCCAGGACACAGCAGUAUCGCAACAGCAACUCAAAAGGACGUUAGAAGCUUUACGAAAAUUCCUCCAGCGCCGCCAAGCGGCGGCAAGUGAAGAGUUGCCCAACUUGAUGACGCCAGACGUCUCCCUGAGGAAAUUAAUGGCGCCGGGUUUCCGAUCAGGCCAUUGGAGCUACAAGCCAGGUCGCUCAAGGAAAUCACGACAAGACCUACAGGCCUUGCUGGAUUCGUUAAACUCAUAUAAGCAUAUAGUUGGAAAGAGAUGGAUUACGCAAUAAAAUACAUUCUCGAAAUUUCGCCAGGUCGAACUGUUAAAGCAAUAGUUGUCAUAGCGUAACUUCCCUGGCAAAAGUGUUGCGUUCAAAUGCACCUGGUAUUUCAAUCGUUUACAUCCGUAAUUAUACCAUAAUUCCGCGAAACGCUUUGAAAAA